UGUACAGGCAUAAGCUGAAACUGUGUUGUUAAAACCAAGUGUAGCCAGAUGGUUUCUCCCUCCUGGCCGCUGUACGGCACUGUGCCAAUUCAAUCGCCGCUGUGACAGCGGGGCGGCAUCCGGCGCCGCUUUAUAUAUACACAGGUUCGGUGAGCCUCAGCGGCAGUCCAAUCCCUGGUGGUGGUUUCACGAGUCCCCUUUGUCGUUGGUGUGUCGUCUCACAGGUGUGGGAUUAUUUUUGGACCCCUUUCCUCUUUUGAUUUUCAGAUUUUUGCCUGCCGCCAUGGUAAGCCGACCUAUCCCUUUAAUAUUUAAGUUGAGUGCUUCUACUCUCCUAUUUUAACCUGGCGGCCUUGACCCUUAGCUAUAAUAAUUAAUGUUGUAAUUAAAUAAAGAUAUUAUUCUUUUUUGGAACACAGACGUGAUUACGAACCUGUGUGUGCCUUGAGAGUGUUUAAAUGAUCCUUGGGUGAUCAUAUUGAAUAGAACGUCCCAGGGCUGAAACUCCCCUGGGUGGCGUUGUUGCAACAUCCACCUAAAUCCUAGCCGCUGUGCGUUUUAUUCACGCACUCCGACACGCAUUCUUCCCUUCACUCUUCACACCACACAAGCCCUGGAGUGAAUGAAUGAUUCAUGUAGAACAAAUUGUUGCUGCUAAGAUCUGCAAAGCAAAUGUGAAAGUAAAUGGCUGCAUAUUGGCUGCAUUAGCCAAGCUAUGAGACGAGCAGCGGGAGAUGUCCCUGCCGCAGUGCAAACCUUCCAUUUCAGUGGUUCCAAUAUCAAUUACAAAGCAUUUAUUCAAGAAAGUACUCCAAUUUAGUUUCAGAGCAAACUAUGGCAAAAAGUGAGCCUUGAGCUUUCUGGGCGUAUAUGAGCAAGCAAAAUUUAAUCGAUUGGUGUGUGAAGGUGAAAGGGAGGCAGUCAUCUUCUUUAUGUGGUUCAGAUACCUCAGGAAGCUGCAUAAGAAGCACUGAGGUGACACCGCCUUGCUUCACAUUCACAGGUACCCGUGUCCCCAUCAAUAUUUCCGUGUCAUCAGCAGUUUUAUUUACGACACUGUCAUCAAUAUUGCUUCCACUCAAUGUGGCUGCCAGCCUUUACAACCUCCGUCAGCUGGUUAAGCAGAUUGAAUAAAACACAAAUGGCUCACUCAAGCUCUGCGCUGCACAACCACCAUAAACCCCAAUGUUUGUCAAAUGAGCGUCUUGGAAACAGGCCCCGCUACUUUGCAGCAGCCACUUUAACGGCCAAAUGUGAAGUCUUGGCUCUGUGUGAGAGGCAGGCAUUGAAGGUGAUUUAACAUCGUUUGGUUUCCCCUCUCUGUUGUAUUAGGAGGAGGAGAGGACCCUCCAUCACUGCCGCAUUCGUCUCUCCUACUCAUCUCUCUCUGUCAGCUGGGGUUAACUAGUGGCUCCCUUAACCCAUCCUGUCCUCUCGCAAGGAAACGCAAGGAGAGAAUCCCAACUUCUCCUUUAAGUACAUGACGUUGUGACCUCUAAGUCCUGGUUUCACUGUUAGACUGGUUUACAGAAUUGAGGAAGUCUUAGUUUUCCACUUACAACACUCUAAAAAUGUGUCUGAAUGCUUUGCUUGAUGGAGACAAAUUUAAGUUCUGUCGGUGUAGUGCGUGUGUGUUUCUGUUGUUGUCUUAUUUGCCAAGAAAGAUAGGAUAAGAUAAGCCUUUUGUUAAUCCCACAGUGGGGACAUUUGCAGUGUUACAGCAACAGAGAUAGUGCCAGAUAGUCCCUGCCCCCCCAAAAAACCUUAAAGUAUACAUAAGUAGUAGUUGCAGAAAUAACAGUAUAGCACUUAUCAGUGGCAAAUGACCAGGGACUUUUUGUUUCAAUUUUCCUUUCAAUUCAAUAUAGAUAGCUAUUGAUAAUUUCUGAUUACCUAUCCUUAAGAAAGGCAAUGUGAAAAAUGCACACGCACUAGCACAUUACAUACAUAAGCAUAAUUAAGGAUAAAGGAAUCAUCUGUUCUUGAUGAUGAGGCCAUAAAAAACACAAGUAAUGAAUGGAUGAAAUUUCAGGGACAGAAAUGACACAAGGACCAAGUGAUUAGAUUUUGGCAUUGAUGCGGCUUAUGGUAUGGAUCCAUGAAUUUGUUAAGGAUUUCCCAUUGAGUUAGCGACAUGGCGUCUGAUUAAAAAACCAUGGCAAAUGAACAGCGGCCUGCAGGCGAUCACAUGAUUGCGAUCCUACUACAAAUCCACAACUGUGGACUUACUGAAAAUGAUGCAAGGAACAAAUGAUUAAAUUGUGGGGGUGUUUCUGAGUCCCAUCAAUUCCCGCUACAUAUUUAGGUCAGGUGAUUAGGUAUCCCUACAUAACAUAUACAUGCAUAGCACACACCUGUGUUCAGCGCAAGGUCAGGGAAUGAACAGUCUUGGCAGAGUACUGUUUGAGUGCUUUUCUUGAUUAUUGACAUGACAAGCUGUGAGCGUGUGUGUGAAUACCCGUGUGCUACAAUAUGAAAUUGCCACUGACGGGUAUGUCCAAAUGGGAUUCAUUCAAUAGUAAACUAUCAUUUUGUGCCUUAAAUCUACCAACCACUUCAUGUUAAACCAGUAUCUGGCUGCUGCUAAUUUCCCUCCGUUGUAUUCAAGCUUUUGUGUAAAUGGGUUGGAGCAUCUUAAAGAAUUCAUUUCGAAAUAAGUAUUGUCAAUCAAAAUGUUGAAACAUGUUCUAAAAGCUGAAAAAAAUGCAUCUUUUUAGCAAUUGUCACCAUCUCCUGCAAUUUCAUCGCCACAAAUAUGCUGCAAACAUUGCAACUUACAUCGCAAUUUUUUUUUACAAAAGCUGCCAUGAAUUCAGGCAUUUUAGGCCACAACAAUCUUGAAAAACACCCAUGAAAUCCUGGAGGGACUGAAUAGUUAAUGGGAUAUAGUCCUCCAAACAUUGCUUCGAAUUUAAAUGUUUGAAGUAACAAGCUGAAAGAGGAUCGACUGACAAUUGUAUUUGAAAAAUGUCUCAAAGUACUUGAUAUAUCAAGCAAAAAUUUCAUAGAUACCAUUUAACACAUAUAUUGCUUAUGCUAAAAAUGUUUCAAGCAAUUAGAAAUUGUUUAGCAGAAGGCCACUAAUGAUUUGAGUGUCUGUAUUAAUAACCCUUUUGCUGAUGAUUGCAAUGAUAGACGAUGUGUCUACUGCUGCGACGUUUUGGACUUACUCUCCAUCCACAUAUAUGAAAAGAGCACUACAUUGUGUGCCCCACUGCACAUACACAGAUACAUCAUGUAGUCAUUUGCUUGUUACACACUGUGAACAUGCCUCACAGACAAAAGUAAUGUACUCAUCAGGAAUGUGACAGAAACUGUUGCUUUUCUGGAGGGCUUACAUACAAAAAUGGGAAAGUGGAAUAUUCUCAUGCUUGUCACAUGCAACCAACACAUUUUGCCCUGAAGGCCUCUGUUUUUGUCAACCCUGUCAAUUCUCCCUGUCCAGUUUGUUGGAAGAGUGCCAGAUUUUUUUAUAUUUUGUCGACAACAUUGCUCAACGCAGCAGUGGCCCAGUUGGAUAGAAGUUAAGAUCAGAAAUUAUACAUUACAGGUGGGCAUGUUAGAUGGUGUACACUCAGUUUCUUUACAUAAAAUGAGUUUGGGAACCUUGUGUAGAGAUUGAAGAGAAAACACAAAGGAAUCUUAUGUUUAUCUGUGAACUACAGAAAGCAGAAUUCUCUUUUCUGGACUUGCUGAAAAUCUGGCAUCUGUUUUUUUUUUUAAAUGUGUAACAGUGACUUGAUUUGCCAUCUCCUGCAGUUAAAUACCACUGUUACACCAUACAUAAAAUGGAAGAGGUUUUAUUUUUUUCUACUGUUAGUUUUUUUUUUUUUUUCAGUUAGAUUUGACUGUUUUGCAUCUAAAAAUAAUUGUGGUUUAGGAACUAAGUUGGUGGAUCCGAUUUUUGUAUUUGGUAAAGACAUGAUUCUGAUCAUCAGUAACAAAAAAAUUAGAAAUUUUAACACAUUACUCUUUUGUUCCCCUUGACACCACUGUAAAAUUUGCCUGUGUUGUAGUUAGAAAUGCAGACCGUGGGCACCCCUGUAGCUCAACAGGUUGACCAAUACCCAUAAACAGGGGCUAUAGUCCCCAACACAGCGGUCAUGGGUUCAAGUCCGACCCACAGCAAUUUACUGCAUAUCUUUCCCCCACUCUUCUCCCCAUGUUUUCUGUCUCUCUCUCUGGUAUGCACUAUAAUAAACACCAAAAAAAAACCUUUAAAACAACAACAAAAAAAAAAAGAAAUGCAGACCUUAGGACAUGGAGCUUCAGUCAUUAAAGAGAAUCUUGCUGACACCUAUGUUCAGAGGUGGGUAGUAACGAGUUACAUUUACUUGAGUAAUUUUUUGGAAAAAAAAGUACUUCUGAAAGUAGUUUCACUCUGUCAUACUUCUUACUUUUACCUGAGUAGAUUUCUGAAUAAGUAACGCUACUCUUACUCCGUUACACUGGGCUACACUCGACUCGUUACUUUUUUUAUUUACCACAUUAGAUAUGCUUUAUUUUGCCAGAGAGAUGUCCCCAGUGGAUCUACCACAUGACUGUUUCACUAAUCAGACGAAGCAACAAUAAUCACGUGACUCCGUUUCACCAGACGUCGCUCUGCAGUCACAUGACCACAUACGAACUGUGGCAGCAUAGUGGCACAAACUAUACACGUAGCAGACUUGGAAUGAAAAAAACGGGAGAGAAAUUUGAUCUUGCUUCGGAGUCCGACAACAUUAGCAUGUUACCUUACUGUUAUGAUUCUGCUCCUGCCCCAGUUCCUUCUCCCUCUUUCUUUCUUCCUCCCGGUUUUUCUGCAUCUAUUUUGACCUGUCCCUUUGGCUCCCUCUGUCUGUCAUCUCUUUCCCUCUUGUCUCUCUCGUCCCUGUGUCUUGCUCUCCCUGCUCACCUGUCUACACUCAGCUGAUUACUGCAGGUGACUCACUUUGCAGUAAUCAGCUCACCAGCCCACAAUAUCACCUGUUCGCUAUUUAAACCCUGCUCUUUCUCUCAGUCCCCGUCGGAUCAUAGAUACUGUUCCCCACCAAGCCUGCCACUUCUGGACUGCUUCAGCCCCCUGGACUCUGCUGCUUUCCCCCUCCUGGAUUUCCCCCCUCUUGGACUCUGUUGUGUUCCUGUCUGUUCAUGGAUUUUCCCCAGCCUGUUUUCCCUUCGGUUGUCAGUUUCCCCAUCUUGAGUACCCCUCUUAGCUUAGUGUUGUUAAACCACUUUAGUUUUGUAGACUUCCGUUUUUGUAAUCUUGGUGUUGGUUUUAGUAGUGUGACUUAUUUAGUAUAGAUUUGGUUUAGUUUCCCCCCUGUUCGGUUACCCAUUUUCUGUAUUGGUUUAGUUCCUGUUUUGUUAAAAUAAAAACCUCUUUCCCUUGGACCACCUGUCUGCCACUAUCUGUGCCUGGGUUCUCUGACCCCUUCCCUUAACACUUACUACAGGUAUUUGUUUCAAAAGCUUUAUGUUGUGAAAAACUGAGAUUUGGACAUUUGUGUUUCUUGUGCUUUUACUUGUCAUUGUGUAAAGAUGUUUAUUUUUGCUAUUUUUUAAAAUUUUAUUAUUUGGAAAUACCAGAAUUUGCACAUUAUUUUAUAUUUUUGUCUGUCUGAUCACAUCAUUUCUAAAAAAUAAAUCGGACAUUACAAACA